rnacentral:rRNA from 1 species
AGAGUUUGAUCCUGGCUCAGGAUGAACGCUGGCGGCGUGCCUAAUACAUGCAAGUCGAGCGAACGGACGAGAAGCUUGCUUCUCUGAUGUUAGCGGCGGACGGGUGAGUAACACGUGGAUAACCUACCUAUAAGACUGGGAUAACUUCGGGAAACCGGAGCUAAUACCGGAUAAUAUUUUGAACCGCAUGGUUCAAAAGUGAAAGACGGUCUUGCUGUCACUUAUAGAUGGAUCCGCGCUGCAUUAGCUAGUUGGUAAGGUAACGGCUUACCAAGGCAACGAUGCAUAGCCGACCUGAGAGGGUGAUCGGCCACACUGGAACUGAGACACGGUCCAGACUCCUACGGGAGGCAGCAGUAGGGGAUCUUCCGCAAUGGGCGAAAGCCUGACGGAGCAACGCCGCGUGAGUGAUGAAGGUCUUCGGAUCGUAAAACUCUGUUAUUAGGGAAGAACAUAUGUGUAAGUAACUGUGCACAUCUUGACGGUACCUAAUCAGAAAGCCACGGCUAACUACGUGCCAGCAGCCGCGGUAAUACGUAGGUGGCAAGCGUUAUCCGGAAUUAUUGGGCGUAAAGCGCGCGUAGGCGGUUUUUUAAGUCUGAUGUGAAAGCCCACGGCUCAACCGUGGAGGGUCAUUGGAAACUGGAAAACUUGAGUGCAGAAGAGGAAAGUGGAAUUCCAUGUGUAGCGGUGAAAUGCGCAGAGAUAUGGAGGAACACCAGUGGCGAAGGCGACUUUCUGGUCUGUAACUGACGCUGAUGUGCGAAAGCGUGGGGAUCAAACAGGAUUAGAUACCCUGGUAGUCCACGCCGUAAACGAUGAGUGCUAAGUGUUAGGGGGUUUCCGCCCCUUAGUGCUGCAGCUAACGCAUUAAGCACUCCGCCUGGGGAGUACGACCGCAAGGUUGAAACUCAAAGGAAUUGACGGGGACCCGCACAAGCGGUGGAGCAUGUGGUUUAAUUCGAAGCAACGCGAAGAACCUUACCAAAUCUUGACAUCCUUUGACAACUCUAGAGAUAGAGCUUUCCCCUUCGGGGGACAAAGUGACAGGUGGUGCAUGGUUGUCGUCAGCUCGUGUCGUGAGAUGUUGGGUUAAGUCCCGCAACGAGCGCAACCCUU